rnacentral:ncRNA from 1 species
GGGAACACUUUUGUGUUAACCAUUAAAAGGGAAUGCUGUGAGAUUCGGCAACAGUUCCCGCUGCUGUAAGCUUUUAAAAAAUUAAGCAAAUAGCCACUCUUUAAUAAAGGGGAAGGCGCUUAAAAUAUGGAAGUAAGUCAGAAUACCUGCCAAUCAUAAA